ACCGAAGCCCGUAACCGCCUUCGGGCGUGAUUGGGUGGCUGGUAUCCUCCUACUGAGGGAUGUAUGGCGCAGUGUGGGCCGGCCUCCGGGUCGCGAAUCCCCACGUCUGCGGCGGACCAUCCCUUGGGCAACUCAGUGGGGGCAAUUGGAUGGCCUGUGGGCAUCGUUGGCGGCUUCGGCCCCGGGGAUCACCCAGGCCGGACGCUGGGCUUCGGUCCACGUCCCGACCUCUUAACUAACCCUGACCACCUCAUCUUGAGGUUCUCCGGCGGCCCCUCGACCCUCGGGGCGAGCGGCUUCCCGGUUAAGAUAGUUACCUGGUUGAUUCUGCCAGUAGUCAUAUGCUUGUCUCAA
rnacentral:misc_RNA from 1 species